CCGGCUCCUCCCCUUCUUCUUAAUGUGGAACACAAUGAACUAAUUCCAUAAGAAGCAAUUCAGAGAAAAGUGAAAAUGUAAUUUACCGGGGUUCAGCUAGGACGCCCAUCUUGUUCUAAAUCCAACAAGUUGAUCACAUGUGAGGGGCCCCAGCGUACCCUAAAAUAUAUCCAUUAAUUCCCAGAGAUUAAAAUCCAUGUGCUUAAAAACAACCACAACAAAAAUACCAGCUGCCUUUUGAAAGCAAGGGCGUUGGGAAAUGAAUGGAAUCUCAUGCUCCUGCUCUGUGUUCAAGAGCUUCGAUGGCUACUGUGUUACAUCAGGAAUGGCCAGUGCCUGGACCCCACCCUCCCCCACUCCCUUUUAAUUCAAUGGCUACGUGGGGGCUUCUUUGAUGGAGGCUUUGAAGUCGGUGGCUUUGAGAUUACUCUUCCUCUGUGACCUUGACCACCAGCCAUGAGGGCCUGUGUGGCUGUGCCACCAGCAAUCUUUCAACACUGAAAAGGACAAAGAAAAUCCAUUACUCUGUUACAAGAAGAAAGAAUUUCUAUGGCAAAAAGGAUGAUGAGAAGAAUGGCUAAUGGGUUUACAGGAACUCUUAACACAAAGCUGGGUGUUCAGAUACCAAGAGUUUGUAAAAAAAAAAAGAAAAAAAUACGCAAUCCAAGGCAAGCAGUCAAGGACCACAAGACAAUGUGUGUAUGAAUUUCUUCAGCCCUUGGAAUUCCCCACAAUGGUGACUGACACCCACAUUUAUCUAGGCACUCCCAACACCUGGGGAUUAAAGAAUGCCUUCCAGGCUACCAGUUUGAGUAAAGACUAUUGUGACUAUAGAAUCUCGAAGAAAAAAAUUACCAUGAGGAGGCACACUGGAGAUACAUCCUGUUUCCUGAAGAACCUAUGUCUACAACCCCUGUGGUUGAGUUAGUUGUAAUAGCCAAAUCAGGAGGAACGUCUCUGGGUGGGAGGGCCCUCAGAACACCCACUUUCCAGUUUCGCUUUAUUGUAUGGCCAAGAAAUGGAAACCACCAAAUGUUUCUUUGCCUUUAUUUUGUAUGGUGGUUCCCCCUAGACUUCCGGACCUCUCCAUGACCUUUGCUGCAUGCAUGAGGAGAAACGGCCUGCUAGAACAGAUCUGCAAAGGAUUGCUCUGCCUGAGGCUGCCUGAGCUUACAACUGCAGUCUGAAGGGAUAAGGAACUUGAAAGGUGGGUAUCCCACUUGGACUCUCCAACCUCCCGUCGGACAUUUCAGCUGAAUGGUAACCAUAAUGGGUAUAAGAAAGAACAAAGCCAUUUCCCAAAUCUGCCUCCCCCGCCUCUCUCUCGCCCAGUACGCCAUGCUUCCUGUUUCCCUAGUAAUGAAAAUGUGUUCAUCUGUCAAGGGGAAAGCUGCCCCACUGUCUUAGGUGCAGAGAACUCCAAUCACAGCAGCUGCUGGGACCAGACCGAGAGCCAAGCUCCUCAUUUGUUUUGGCUAACACUGAAGAAUCCGUUUAGGCAUCCCCUAGAACAAAAUGGUGCAUGGGAACAGAGCCAAGCCAUGGAAGAGAAGCGGCAAAGUUGCAACAGAUUAUUUGUCUGCUAAAACAGAAGGAGAAAGAGAGCUAAACCUGGAUCCGUUUGAGUCCAGCCUCUCUAACAUAUUCUCCACUUGCAACACAGAUGAUUUCCUCUAAUAUCGCUCAACAGGUGCUAAACUGUAGCUUUGCUGAAGAUUAAUCAUGCAGCCUUGGAAACCACACUAAAAAAUACCAAGACGGCUCCCAGGAUUUAUAGGCUCUUUCUCCAGAGUACUCAGCACAGAGUAUAUAUAAACAGCAUGCAUAGUAUUACACAUAUGUAUAUUAAAUGUAUAGUGAGUCCUUGCCAAUGCAAUCCUGCGGAAAAUCUCAUUGCCUUCUGUAUCCACUAGGCACUCUGUGCAUGUAUGAAGUACAUUGCAUACCAAUAGGAAAUUAUGCUUGCAUGUGCAUCUCCUCUUAGGUUAUGUGUUUUUUAUGCCGUGUCUUUCACUGAACUCUCAUUUUAUGAAGUAGACACUCCAGACAUAUGUAUGUUAGAGCCUGUGCUUGCUGCCUCCAACUUCUCCAAUACGUAUCAAGUCAAUCUCACAAUGUCUCUAGGGAGGACACAGUGAACAUGGUCAUUCUGUUGAAAAAUUUCCAGCACUGUUUAUAUUAAAAGCUUCACCGAGUCCCCUGUUUUGCUAUAUUACAAAUAAAACCCAAGACUGUGUAGUUUUACAUGAUUCAGACUGUUCACGAAGUGAAGUCCACGCUACAGGUCAUUUAGUAGACAAGCGAUGAAGGAUGUAGAGCCUGGGAGUAAGGCGAGGCUUUGCUUUUCCCCUAAAUUGGCCAGAAUAUGGAUAACCUUGAACUCUGGUUGGAUGCUGAUAAUCUGAUUAGAGAGGGAAUUAUGAAGGCAAACUCUAAGCAAGAUGGACAGACAGAGAAAUAUCUUAGGAUCCUUAAGUGACUCAAGAACUUUGAGGGACUAUCCCAAAUCUGACUAGGUUUUAUAAGAGUGUCUUCAUGGGGACAGUACAGCGUGUGUGGGCCUUUAUCUUAAAAAAUACCCAAAUAAGUACUUUUCUGGGACAAAAUAAGCCAGAACCCAGUCAUAAUGGGCGGAGGGAGUGAUAGAGUCAUAGUGGGCGGAGGGAGUGGUAGAGGUGUUCUAUCUGAAUUUCUAAGUCUUAGGACAAGGCUGUGAUCUAGAAGGAAUAAAAGAACAUGCCCACUGGGUAGAGACUCUAUUCUGAACAAGCUCCAGACUGGGGAGCAUGGAGGGUAGAGUCAAGCUUGUAAGCCCCUCGUGAUUAGAUCUUCCUCCUUGAAUACUCUCCUUCCAGAGCCACAGUGCUAGCCUAGCUGAAGCUCCCACAGCGACAGCCCUCUGCUGUGAGGAAGAGUAGUUUUGUACUUUCUUGUGACUGGAAACAACCAGUUAAUUCUGUCCAGACCCACCAAGAAGAGGGAAGAAAAAAAAAUCCUUUCAUCUUGACCCUUCCUAUGUAUCUCCUGCUUACUUCCCUAGGCUGAGUCAUACUUCCAUAUUAUUUCAACAGGAAAAUGGGCAAUUUCUUUUACUUGAUACGUUGUGUUCUAUCCACAAAUUGAUCUGAUCCCAUUUGGUUGGAAUUAUUAAGUACAGUAAAAAUAAUGGGAUACUAUUGUGUUAUUUCUGGUUUCGUUUCUUCCCACACCAUGACAUCUUGGCACUGAUGAAAACUGUUCAACGUUCGGAUCAUUGAACUCCAUCUCGAUAAAUAUUGGAUUUAGUAGCAGGAUGCUAGAGCAAAGCUUUGCUAUUUCAAGAUGGCCACUUGGCGCUCCAUUGUCAGAGCCUGUCUGGGGUGACAUCUCAAAGAUCAGCAUUACUGGAGCAAACACAGAAGAAUGGUAGACUUAUUCAGCAUAAAAGUGACAUUUAUGUCAAACAAGCAUGGAUUGAAAUAAACGAUUCAUUUACAAGAAGCCCACUGCAUUUAGCAGGAAAUUCUGCAUAAUGCAUGCAAACCUGUGCUAACACCCCAGGAGCCAAGCUCUGAAUUAUUACCAAAGAGUUCAACUCAACCCAACUCAACCCAACUCAACCCAACCAAAGGCAUUACAAAUGUGCAUGUGUAAAAACCCAAAGUCUCUAAGACAAAAGGCCUACAUGGCAGGUGUCAAUAUUGCACCAAGGCAGCCGUGGGAACCCACAGUCGGAGUACUGCAGACUUAAAACUGAUUUGUUCCAGUGAGGCUCUCAAAUAUCAAAUGCAUGCGUUUGCAAAAACUUCGCCUGUUUAUUUAAUUCUUUUAAGUAUGUCCUUAUAGCUCACUGUACUUCCUUGAGGUUGAAAUUUAGUCCUCUGUAAUGGAAGGACAAAACUUGGAAGAACUUGAUGGGUUUUGAACUUCUGACAAAGCAUAUUUAAAGGGGCCCUUAAACAGUUGAUAAUUCUUACCUGACACUGGAGCCUGGACAACUAGGAUGUGAAUUCAUUUGGGCUUUAAAACAAGAACUUACUUGUGUCAAUCUCAGGUCCUUCUUGGUUGCUCAGCAACAUUGUGUGAAUCUGGUAUUACAGUGAUGGACUACUUUCGAUAAAACUUUAGGAACCAUCUGUUAGCCUUGAAUACCAUGUUAAGAGAGGAGUUUUUCUAAGAUCUUUUGAUACAAAAUCCUCUAACAUUGCCAGACUUUUAAAGGGAAGGCUGACCACUGUCCCCCCUCCCAUAUGAGUGUGUCAAGGAUCUUGGGGUACAGGGUAUUACAGUGAUCACUGGAUCUGUCACAGACAACUUUUGUUGAAACUUGCCACUGUCCAUAUUUGAAUCUCCAGGUGAUAACUGUGAGGCUGUUCACAGUUCUGAUGAGCUUUGCUGCCUUCAACUCAUGCGUACUCUGGGUUUCCAGAGAACUUCUGUCAGUUACCUUUGUCUAGAUUUUACAUUAGAAAUCUAAAUGAAUUAUUUACCUUAAAAUACCCCCAAUAAACUUAGAGAAGUUAUGGAAAACACACACACACACACACACACACACACACACACACACACACACACACACACGUGAAGAUGUGCUUGCUAGUUGAGUCUGAGUCUCACCAUCGUCCAGGCUGGCUUUCAAUUUGCUAUGUAGCUGAGAAUGGCCUUGAACUUCUAAACCCCCUAUGUCUAUCUCCCAAGUGCUAGAAUUACUAGCAUGCAUCACCACAUACACCUUACAGGGCACAUUAUUGUGAAAAUAAUUAUUUUGCAAAACACUAGCGAGAAGUUGAUUAGUCCAUCUUUUUACAUUUUUUCCAGAAGCUAGAGUGAGGCUGUGCUCUCUCUGUAGUGAUGUCACAGUAAUAAAUAUGUCAUAGUGAAAAGGUGACACACAGCUUCAAGGUGUUGGUGAGAAUAGCUCUGUCCCUCAUGAACGAUCGAGGAAAGAGGAUACCCAGGGACUCCACACGACAAUUGAAAAGUUUUUAGACAUAAAACAGAGGCCCAAACAAGCAAUUAUAUCAUUAUGAUAAAUUUUUUUCUGUGAUGGAUGAGCUAGGUAACCUGGUUUGAUUGUUACACAGUGUGUAAGUAUCUCAAAACUUCACAGUGCAUUCCAUAAACACAUGGAAGUAGCAGGUAAUAACUGAAAACUAAGGGGUCUGGUAAGAUGUCUCAGCUUCUUCUACAUCUAUUUUGUAGGCAUGUGCACUUGCGAGCAUGCACACAGACACAGAAAGACAGACAGACAGACACAUGCAAAAAUAUAAUAAAAAUAAUUUUAGUGUUACUUGAAUGAUUAUUCCUCUCUUGUUCCUGUUUUAUAGACAAUAAUAGAUACAUAAUGGAUAUGUCAUAGAUAUAUGAUAGGUAGAUAGAUAGAUAGAUAGAUAGAUAGAUAGAUAGAUAGAUAGAUAGAUGAUAGAUAGAAGACAGAUGGUAAAGAAAACAGUACCGACACAUGAUUAAAGGAAGACAGAAUAUAGAUAGGAAGACAGAAAAGUAGAUGGUAGAUAGAUGGCAUGUAGAAAAUAGAUAGUUGAUAGAUAGAUAGAUAGAUAGAUAGAUAGAUAGGUAGAUAGAUAGAUAGAUAGAUAGAUAGAUAGAUAGAUAGAUAGAUAGAUAGAUAGAGUAUAAGGCAUUGCCUUUAUUUCCUAAGUAAGACCACUGAGGCAGAAGAUGACUUUCCCAGAGUUCUACAGAUUACAAAUGAUAGAGGCAGCUUUGGACCCUACAAGCAGCCUUAUCAGUGGCUAUAGACCAUCUUAGACCAGUGGUGUAAGCAGAGGUGAUAACGGUGACUGUAACAGCAGGAGUCCUGCUUAACACUUAGGAAACAAGAGCCUAGAAAAUUGUGGAUGUGCUACAUACAGGAUCUGCUCUUGUCCUCACAACAGGACAUAUCACAUUAUCAUGACCAACAUCACCACCAUCCCCACUGUCAGGAGUGGCAGCACUGGAUUGACAAGGAGCCUGUCUUACCUAGAAUUGUAAUGAAUAUGUAAGCCCUUACAUUUUAAAGUUGUACUAUUACUGUAAUGAAAACAUGACAUAUGAGCACAGAGGACUGUGUGGUCUGACACUUCAUUUGACUUGCAUCAUGACCAAAGAAGACACAUGGCUUUUGCAGAAAAGACCUCUCUGGAGUGGCCUAUUUUUACUACUUUCUGAGUGAGGUGUUCAAAGUAUACCAGUCCUGAAUGGCAGAACAUUGGGAACCUUGAGACAGACUCUGUGACUCACUGUAGGGAUGCCUUCAGGACUGCGGAUGUGAGCAGGCCGAGUUCCUUAUUAAGUGAUUCAUCCGUCUCUCUGUAGUCGGGUAGAUUUCUUUUCACGGUUUGUGAAAUUUUCUUUCAUAAGUUUUCUGUCUACUCUGUAUAAAACCAGCAAUAUCUUUGUUUUCCCCAGGAAAAAUCUUU